GGCACCACUCAAUUUGCUCCUGCACUGUUUGCCGGACCCACCUGGAGAACUCCACCCUGUUGGUCAUGCUGGGAGCCUGGGCUGGUCGGGGCUGUGAGGAGAUAAACUGUAAGAGGAAGAGAGAAAGCAGAGAUAGUUAAAUGGCUUGGAAAGAUGGAUCUCUAGCUCUAACAUCUUCAAGCAAAAAUCUGUCAAGUGACUGAGGCGAGUAAGCUUCAAUUAAUUUUGCUGCUACAAAAUGGAGAUUAAUUGUAGGAGAUUAUUAGUGCCACUUGCUCAGAUGUACCAUUCUUGGCUUAAAAGUGGGGCCACAAACACAGCCUGAAUAGAGAUUCAUCUCUUCUUCAUUGACUUCACGCUGCUCAGACAUUUCACAAAAGAUAGAUUACAUGGAGUUAAUCUGCACUUGGAACAAGACAGAAAAAUGAGGGAAAGACAAAUGACUAAUGCAAGUGCUUGUCAUCAUAUUUAGAGAUUAGAGAAGGGAAGUAGUAUUUUCUCAACUAGCAUAUUUGGGACAGAUAAAUUAAAUGACAUCUCACAAUCCCUCUAGAAAUAUGGUGUUCAGAAAAA